UUGUGGUUUGUGGAGUUUUUUCUGGGGGGGGGGGGGUGGGGGGGACGCUCGGCUUUUCUAACUACAUGCAGUCUGUAGUGUGGGUGAUCUUGGUUUCUUUUUUUUUUUUUCUUAUAUUGUGGCAGUUUCCUCUCUUUAAUAGACUCUAUUAAAAAUAUAUAUAUAUAUAAAAAAAUAUUUAAUGUAAUCACAAGAGUGCCAAACACUUGGAGAUGCUGGAGGGCAGCGGUUCCCUCCCCGAGACGAGCAGCACUCGGGGCUUUCUGCUCUUUCUAGGGCUCGGUCGAUCUCUCGUGGGGUUUUCUCUGACUUCUCUUUUCUAAUCUUUCUUUUUAACUAUUUUGCAUGAUGUGCAUAAAAAAAAAAAAGAAAAAAAAAAAGAAAAAAAGGGGAAAAAAAAAAAAGCGCCUCUGGCGCCUGAGCUUGGUUCUUGUUUCUGUUUGCGAUUGACUGACAGACCUCAAGGCAGGUUUUUCUUUCCUCCUUUUCUUAAAUAUUGUGUAUGUUGCACUUUUAUCCACUACACAGGGCUAUUUCUGCAAUGUCCAAAUAAAAAGGAAAAUGAAACAAAA